rnacentral:rRNA from 1 species
UUAAAUUGAAGAGUUUGAUCAUGGCUCAGAUUGAACGCUGGCGGCAGGCCUAACACAUGCAAGUCGAACGGUAACAGGAAGCAGCUUGCUGCUUCGCUGACGAGUGGCGGACGGGUGAGUAAUGUCUGGGAAACUGCCUGAUGGAGGGGGAUAACUACUGGAAACGGUGGCUAAUACCGCAUAACGUCGCAAGACCAAAGAGGGGGACCUUCGGGCCUCUUGCCAUCAGAUGUGCCCAGAUGGGAUUAGCUGGUUGGUGAGGUAACGGCUCACCAAGGCGACGAUCCCUAGCUGGUCUGAGAGGAUGACCAGCCACACUGGAACUGAGACACGGUCCAGACUCCUACGGGAGGCAGCAGUGGGGAAUAUUGCACAAUGGGCGCAAGCCUGAUGCAGCCAUGCCGCGUGUAUGAAGAAGGCCUUCGGGUUGUAAAGUACUUUCAGCGGGGAGGAAGGUGUUGUGGUUAAUAACCGCAGCAAUUGACGUUACCCGCAGAAGAAGCACCGGCUAACUCCGUGCCAGCAGCCGCGGUAAUACGGAGGGUGCAAGCGUUAAUCGGAAUUACUGGGCGUAAAGCGCACGCAGGCGGUCUGUCAAGUCGGAUGUGAAAUCCCCGGGCUCAACCUGGGAACUGCAUUCGAAACUGGCAGGCUUGAGUCUUGUAGAGGGGGGUAGAAUUCCAGGUGUAGCGGUGAAAUGCGUAGAGAUCUGGAGGAAUACCGGUGGCGAAGGCGGCCCCCUGGACAAAGACUGACGCUCAGGUGCGAAAGCGUGGGGAGCAAACAGGAUUAGAUACCCUGGUAGUCCACGCCGUAAACGAUGUCUACUUGGAGGUUGUGCCCUUGAGGCGUGGCUUCCGGAGCUAACGCGUUAAGUAGACCGCCUGGGGAGUACGGCCGCAAGGUUAAAACUCAAAUGAAUUGACGGGGGCCCGCACAAGCGGUGGAGCAUGUGGUUUAAUUCGAUGCAACGCGAAGAACCUUACCUGGUCUUGACAUCCACGGAAGUUUUCAGAGAUGAGAAUGUGCCUUCGGGAACCGUGAGACAGGUGCUGCAUGGCUGUCGUCAGCUCGUGUUGUGAAAUGUUGGGUUAAGUCCCGCAACGAGCGCAACCCUUAUCCUUUGUUGCCAGCGGUUAGGCCGGGAACUCAAAGGAGACUGCCAGUGAUAAACUGGAGGAAGGUGGGGAUGACGUCAAGUCAUCAUGGCCCUUACGACCAGGGCUACACACGUGCUACAAUGGCGCAUACAAAGAGAAGCGACCUCGCGAGAGCAAGCGGACCUCAUAAAGUGCGUCGUAGUCCGGAUUGGAGUCUGCAACUCGACUCCAUGAAGUCGGAAUCGCUAGUAAUCGUGGAUCAGAAUGCCACGGUGAAUACGUUCCCGGGCCUUGUACACACCGCCCGUCACACCAUGGGAGUGGGUUGCAAAAGAAGUAGGUAGCUUAACCUUCGGGAGGGCGCUUACCACUUUGUGAUUCAUGACUGGGGUGAAGUCGUAACAAGGUAACCGUAGGGGAACCUGCGGUUGGAUCACCUCCUUACCUUAAAGAA